AGGAUGAACGCUGGCGGCGUGCCUAACACAUGCAAGUCGAACGUCCUGUCUCGCAAGAGGCAGGGAGUGGCGGACGGGUGAGUACCACGUGGGUCAUCUACCGUGAGGUGAGGAAUACCGGCGAGAAAUCGCCGACAAGACCGCAUAGCCUCGGUGCAAGCCGAGGAAAGCUCUUUCGAGAGAGGGAGCGCCACACGAGGAGCCUGCGCCCGAUUAGCUAGCUGGUGGAGUAACGGUUCACCAGGGCGACGAUCGGUAGCUGGUCUGAGAGGACGAUCAGCCACACUGGGAUUGAGAACGGCCCAGACUCCUACGGGGGGCAGCAGUGAGGAAUUUUCCGCAAUGGAGGCAACUCUGACGGAGCAACGCCGCGUGCAGGAGGAAGGUUUUCGGAUCGUAAACUGCUUUUCUCGGGACGAGCAAGGACGGUACCCGAGGAACGAAGCCCGGCUAACUACGUGCCAGCAGCCGC
rnacentral:rRNA from 1 species